rnacentral:lncRNA from 1 species
CCAGGUCUGCUAGUCAGUUACUGUCUCUGUUCCAGGUCUGCUAGUCAGUUACUGCCUCUGUUCCAGGUCUGCUAGUCAGUUACUGUCUCUGUUCCAGGUCUGCUAGUCAGUUACUGUCUCUGUUCCAGGUCUGGUAGUCAGUUACUCCGGUGAACUCAUGUUCCUGUUUCUCUGCCCUGGUUGCUAAACUGUUUUCCUGAUGAUCAUAUCUAUAUGUACCAGCUACAUUGGCACGUCCUGAUCCUAGUAAGAUGUUAUUUUCUAUGGUAGAGUAGUUCAGGGCGUGACAGGGGGUGUUUUUUCUAUGUUUUCUAUUUCUAUGUUUAGGUUCUAGUUUUGUAUUUCUAUGUUGGGGUUUUUGUUUGGGAUGAUCUCCAAUUAGAGUCAGCUGGUCCUCGUUGUCUCUAAUUGGAGAUCAUACUUAAGUAGGGUUUUUUUUCCACCUGGGUUUUGUGGGAGAUUAAUUUUGAGUUGUGUAUGUGUUCAUCGCUGCGUCACAGUUUAUUUUAUUUUUUUUCAUUCAGUGUUUUUAUGUAUCGCGUAGUUUCCACAGUAUAAAUAAAAUGUGGAACGACACACACGCUGCACUUUGGUCCUCUUCUUCCUACGACAGCCGUGACAUACAUAUACAGGAUCUUAAUUCGACACGUUUCUCACAGCAGGGAAAUAAUCCUGCAGCAACCGGAAAUGUGAAUUAGUGUGUGGAUUAUAAUUAAUGGAAGGGCUGAUAGUUUUUUGUGAAGUGUUAAAGUGGAAUUUACAUUGUUUAGAAGCCUUUUUAAAACCUCGAAUACACUAACAGUUUGCAUUUCCUGCUGUGCUGGAACAACAGGACGAUCAAAUUAAGAUCCUACAUCUGUAGUGGCCACUAUAAAUUUUCCAACCAAGGUUUUUUCCAUCUUUCCCUAUGUGGCGUGUAAUAUUCUUGGCAUGGGGUGUGAUCACCGCUAGCCACGUGUCCAUUGUAAACUCUCUCUCUCUCUGUGUGUUCUUGUUCACCCAGUAUUCAGGCCUAUUGAAGUUGGGCAGUGAGAGACAGAGAUCAGGCCUAUUGAAGAUGGGCAGUGAGAGACAGAGAUCAGGCCUAUUGAAGAUGGGCA